rnacentral:rRNA from 1 species
GAUGGACAACUUCGGGGGGAUUAGUGGCGAACGGGUGAGUAAUUCAGGAGGAAUGGUGCCCUGCACUCUGGGACAAGCCCUGGAAACGGGGUCUAAUACCGGAUACUGAUCCUCGCAGGCAUCUGCGAGGUUCGAAAGCUCCGGCGGUGCAGGAUGAGCCCGCGGCCUAUCAGCUAGUUGGUGAGGUAACGGCUCACCAAGGCGACGACGGGUAGCCGGCCUGAGAGGGCGACCGGCCACACUGGGACUGAGACACGGCCCAGACUCCUACGGGAGGCAGCAGUGGGGAAUAUUGCACAAUGGGCGAAAGCCUGAUGCAGCGACGCCGCGUGAGGGAUGACGGCCUUCGGGUUGUAAACCUCUUUCAGCAGGGAAGAAGCGAAAGUGACGGUACCUGCAGAAGAAGCGCCGGCUAACUACGUGCCAGCAGCCGCGGUAAUACGUAGGGCGCAAGCGUUGUCCGGAAUUAUUGGGCGUAAAGAGCUCGUAGGCGGCUUGUCACGUCGGUUGUGAAAGCCCGGGGCUUAACCCCGGGUCUGCAGUCGAUACGGGCAGGCUAGAGUUCGGUAGGGGAGAUCGGAAUUCCUGGUGUAGCGGUGAAAUGCGCAGAUAUCAGGAGGAACACCGGUGGCGAAGGCGGAUCUCUGGGCCGAUACUGACGCUGAGGAGCGAAAGCGUGGGGAGCGAACAGGAUUAGAUACCCUGGGUAGUCCACGCCGUAACGGUGGGCACUAGGUGUGGGCAACAUUUCCACGUUUGUCCCGUGCCGCAGCUAACGCAUUUAGUGCCCCGCCUGGGGAGUACCGCCGCAGGGCUAAAACUCAAGGAAUUGACGGGGGGCCCGCACAAGCGGCGGAGCAUGUGGCUUAAUUCGACGCAACGCGAAGAACCUUACCAAGGCUUGACAUACACCGGAAAACCCUGGAGACAGGGUCCCCCUUGUGGUCGGUGUACAGGUGGUGCAUGGCUGUCGUCAGCUCGUGUCGUGAGAUGUUGGGUUAAGUCCCGCAACGAGCGCAACCCUUGUCCCGUGUUGCCAGCAGGCCCUUGUGGUGCUGGGGACUCACGGGAGACCGCCGGGGUCAACUCGGAGGAAGGUGGGGACGACGUCAAGUCAUCAUGCCCCUUAUGUCUUGGGCUGCACACGUGCUACAAUGGCCGGUACAAUGAGCUGCGAUACCGCGAGGUGGAGCGAAUCUCAAAAAGCCGGUCUCAGUUCGGAUUGGGGUCUGCAACUCGACCCCAUGAAGUCGGAGUCGCUAGUAAUCGCAGAUCAGCAUUGCUGCGGUGAAUACGUUCCCGGGCCUUGUACACACCGCUCCGUUACAGCCACCAAGU